CAGCAGCCGCGGCAAUACGUAGGGUGCGAGCGUUAAUCGGAUUUACUGGGCGUAAAGCGUGCGCAGGCGGCCCGUUAAGACAGGUGUGAAAUCCCUGGGCUCAACCUAGGAAUUGCGCUUGUGACUGGCGGGCUCGAGUACGGUAGAGGGGGGUGGAAUUCCUGGUGUAGCAGUGAAAUGCGUAGAGAGCAGGGGGAACACCGAUGGCGAAGGCAGCCCCCUGGGCCUGUACUGACGCUCAUGCACGAAAGCGUGGGGAGCAAACAGGAUUAGAUACCCUGGUAGUCCACGCCCUAAACGAUGGGUACUAGCCGUUUGGUGCGCGAUAGCGCUGAGUGGCGAAGCUAACGCGUGAAGUACCCCGCCUGGGGAGUACGGCCGCAAGGUUGAAACUUAAAGGAAUUGGCGG
rnacentral:rRNA from 1 species